UUGCUAAAAACUGUAAAUUUAAGACAAAAAUUACCAUCUAAAUUUCAUAGUUUUUCACGAUUUCCGCAAUUUUAUUGCAAAGGAGAAAGUUGCACAAUCUUUAUCAUUGCAAUGCUAGUGGUUCCUUUUUGCAAAAUGUAAUUCAUUUUAUGGAUUUAUACUUCCACUCAGGUAUGAAGGUGAAAUUUGGAUUUGACUAAACACCCAGGGCAGAGAGUUUCAGAAGUUACGUUCGGUGUGCGACUUGUCCCAUACCGAGGUACGAGCCUUUAAUCAUCCACAAAUACAUCGCAUUAUCAUGAGUGAAUGGAUGUACAAUGGUGGAAGUGGAUUCGAUCAGAUCAAGAAGCGUGCCAGAUUCUGGGCUCCAGGAAGGAAGGAUCUAGAGAUUGUUCUGGAUUACUUACAGAAUUACAGUCCUUUAAUCCUGGAACUGGAGAAAACUUAUCAAUCAAACUGCCCGUGGAAACUAAUACGAACACCUCAGUAUAUGUGAAUACUGCACACAAAUAAAACCCUUAGCUAUAUUUAAUUUUCUUCAUCUUCUUCAUUUUCUUUUUACCUUUCAAUUCUCCUACACGUCUUCGCAAAUGUUGAAUGUAGCUUCAUAAUGUCAAAACAGUUAAAAUAUUCGCAAGGAUCAGCGCUAUAGGACCAUAUUAUCAUAGAGAUUCGAAACUUGACAUUUUGAUUGAUCUUAUUAUUUUCUGAUAAUCUCCCAAGUACGAUUUUUGUAACGGGCAAGAUGAAAAACAAUAUUGAAUGGUUGCAAGUGAAAUCAUAAUUUUUUCAACGAGUAUAUGCUUAAUAAACAUGAGCGGACUUAUGAACGAUUUAAACGAAUUACGAAUUAUAAUUCCAUAAUAAAUAGUAGCCUAAAAUGGGAAGAUGAAAUAUUGUCACUAUGUGAGCGUGUUAAUUGUGUACAAAAAUUGAUUUCUUACUACUGCACGGAGAAAAGAACUUCGUGCGUGGGAUCCGAAGUUUAGGUCAUAUGGAUCUCUGAAGUUUUCGGAUUGAGCAUCUGAACACCGAAGUUCAGGUCAGACAUCUGAAACUUCAGUUCUUACAUCUGAAGUACUUCGGUUUUCACAUCCAAAAACUUUGGUUCUCACAUCUGAACCUGAAGUACCUCAGAUGUAAGAACUGAAGUUUUAGAUGUCUGAACUGAACUUCGGCAGCUAGACCUUAAGUGUUCAGAUGCACAAUCCGAAACUUCAGAGAUCCAUAUGACCUAAACUUCGGGUCCCACGCACGAAGUUUUUUUCUCCGUGUGUAAAAUAUCAAAGCUCGGCCUCUUUUUAUUAAUUUGAUCUCUCUAAAGACAUAUAUUCUACUCAGACUUAUUUAUUUAGGAUCCUAAAAUGACGUAAGUUCAUAUGAGGUAACUUAUCGUAGACGUAACGCACGUUUAGGGAACAUUAUUUGAAGCGAACUCUAAUUCUAAGAGUGCCUUACGCGCAGAAUGAUAUUAAGUGUUAAGACAAACCUGUUAUGUAAAAUUGCAUAUGCAUCAAAUUGAAGGCGAUUAUUGCGCUGCGGCAAAGAAUAGUUUUUUACAAUAGGGGCUAAAUAAGUGGAUUAGGAGCUAAGGCACAAGAAGUGGUAACGCAGGAGCCAGAUGAGUUUCAAUGAUACUUCUGAGCGCAGAGGGUAAAUUAUAACUCACGGCAAAAAAGAACUAAGUACUUUCAUCAACGAUGAAAGAACCACAAGUGGGCGACUCUGAUCUACACGUAAUUAACAUUUCAAAAUGCACGUGAACAGACAAAGAUAGAUAAAAACAAUCAAUGACAUUCAGUCCUCGACGGUGAUGUAUGUAAAUUUCAAGAGUUUCCCACGGCCAAUUACAUCAAGUUUAGCAGAAGAUUAAUUAGGCAAUAGGGCAACACCUCUUCAGUAGAAGGAUAAUCUAGAGAUUAGGAAGCUAUCGUCGUGGUUAAAAAUUUUGCAUUCCUAGAGUCGAUAAAACUUCAGUGGUACAAGAGGCCUCGAUGGCAGCACUCAUAAGUUGUGCAAUUUCCUAGAGUCUACAGCUAGAAACAAUGACCCGUUAGGCGGUUGAUAAUGGUUUAGAUUAUAGCGUUUUUGGAAGGUCUCGGCUGAAGUUAGCCUGAUUGGCUAACUUCCAAGUUAGUUCGUGUUUCCGAUCAUAUUUUGUGAGGCAUAUGAGUGUGUUCGUUUCGCCUAUUUCUAAUAUUUCAGUAAGAUGAGCGGUAUGUUUGUGGCCGGGUGUGUGGCGUUGUGCGGGUGGUAUCUUGCCUCUGCCGAAGGCCGCGCGUCGAAGUUAGCAUAAUCCACUUCAACGAUUUCCACGCUCGCUUUGAACCGGUCAAUCCUGUGACGGCCGGCAAAUGCGAGAAAGGAGCUGAGGAUACUUGCGUGGGUAAGUUGAGAAUAACCAAGUCGUAUAAACUAUCAAGAGUUGCCAAAUUUCCUCGGAAAAACAUGUAUUUGAGGGGGAAAGUUUUCCUUGAAAUUUGUAAAGAUUUCAGGUUAAAUUGCUGACAAAAUUAUGAAAAAAUUGAGAGAAAAAAUUCACGAUUUUCCCGCCGCGAUUAAUUUUAAUUUUAUUGCAGGAAAUUUGGCAACAUCUGAAGGCUCAUAGGGCGUUCUCCUUAGUGCGGCAGCAGGGGUGGUCAUGGGCGGAACUGAGGGCGGGGAGGGUAAGGCCUCCCCUAGAAAUUUUGAGAGACUUUACUAAAUUAGUGCGAGAAAUAUCCUCCAUCAAUAUUGUGUUUCAUCAAUCAACGUUUCAAUAAGAACCUCAAAAUUGCGCUUUAGAUGACUCAAUUUUUCAAAUAUAUCCAACUUAGAGCCGGUAGAGUCCCCCAGAUUCCUUUCGAUUGGUGUCCGGGGAUUUCUUUUUGUGAGAUGCCUUUUGGCCUCCACCAAAGAUUCCGAGUUCCGCCCGUGGUGAUGUUCAAACUUUUUUCGGGCGUAAUUGAACCCCAGAUCACCUUUUAUAGUGCGUUUUAAACAAAACAGAGACAAUUUAAGUGUAUUUGAGAAAAUUAUGCUUUGCUUACAUUUCAUCAUGCUUAAGUUAAAGGAAAAAAGGAUCUAGGUCCACAGCGUUACAACUGCUUUGUUUAACUUGUUUUUUUUUAAAAAAGAAAGGCACCGAUCACUACGAUUGCAUAAAAUUUGAAGUAAUUUCCCUGUGCCCUAUCAAGAAAAUUUUUGAAAAUUUCAUGUGAAAAGGUCGGGUAUUAUUUUCUUGAAAAAUUGAAAUAUUAGCGAUGCUCGUUUGAGAAAGUGCGAAAACUUUGAAUUAUUGCUAUAUAGAUAGGGUCAAAUGGGUUCCAAAAUUAUUACAUAAUCGAUUGAUUCGGUAAGAUAUUUUUGUUUAGCCUCACCAUCGAUAUACUCCGUGCUUUCGUGGCAUCCGCGCAGUUUGCCAAAAUGUUACAAGCACAUGUUCAUAGUUACGUCAAAAUUGUUCAGCUCCCUAUAAAUGUUUCAUAAAAAUGCGCAACAUUUUAGAGUGAUAAAUACGACAGUUACUAUACCUACUGACGUCUCAACAAUCAGUUGAAGAGCGUCGUCUAUAUUCCGGAUUCACGGUGCUUCACUGUCCACGCAUUCGAGCAAGCAAUUGUCACGUAAAGUUUAUCUCCUAGUAGGAGCAGGCAAGUAUCCCGUGCAACUUAUUCGAAUUAUUUCAAGAGCCUGUCAAACGUCUCUGGGUAACACCGAUAAAGUAUGCGGGCGAGGAGAAUAAACUGGACGUGUUCAAAGCUAAAGGAACUAUCUCUAUUUUGAUAUGAGCUCUGUCAUGAAUGCAUUUUUAUGAAUCUUAGGGCUCAAGUCACAUUAGAGAUAGCUUCUUUUGAUUUAAAGACGGUCAAUUGAGGAAAACUUCGUCACUGUGUAAUACGUACAUGGAGGUCAAUUCCUUUGUCACUUAUGGAAGUGCUUGGUAUUAUGCAAUCAAGAGCAAACAUGAGGCUUUGAAUUUUAGCACGAUUUCGUUUUGUGCUUUCCAAUUCAAAAUUCUAAGCUCCCUGGAAUAGAGGCAUGCUGAAGGCGUACAUCCAACUACUCCCAUAAUAUUGCAUACUAGGGGGCUACGCCCCUGACCGCUACGCGGCCAACCCCCAGAGGGCGCUU
rnacentral:lncRNA from 1 species